UUCGGUUCACGUUUGUGAUCAAUAGGGAACCCGGUGAAAAUCCGGGACUAUACCCGUAGCUGUAAGCUUUUCUAUUUUUCGAUCAAGGAAUCCACUGUCGAGUAACCGAUGGGAAGGAGAUCGAAAAAAGCGAGUCAGAAGACCUGCCGAUUGCGAUA
rnacentral:ncRNA from 1 species